AUUGAACGCUGGCGGCAGGCCUAACACAUGCAAGUCGAGCGGAUGAAGGGGGCUUGCUCCUGGAUUCCGCGGCGGACGGGUGAGUAAUGCCUAUGAAUCUGCCUUGUAGUGUGGGAUAACGUCCGGAAACGGGCGCUAAUACCCCAUACGUCCUGUGGGAGAAAAUGGGGGGGCUUCGGACCUCACGCUCUCUGAUGAGCCUAGGUCGGAUUAUCUAGUUGGUGGGGUAAAGGCCUAACAAGGCGACGAUCCGUAACUGGUCUGAGAGGAUGAUCAGGCACACUGGAACUGAGAAACGGUCCAGACUCCUACGGGAGGCAGCAGUGGGGAAUAUUGGACAAUGGGCGAAAGCCUGAUCCAGCCAUGCCGCGUGUGGGAAGAAGGUCUUCGGAUUGUAAAGCACUUUAAGUUGGGAGGAAGGGCAGUAAGUUAAUACCUUGCUGUUUUGACGUUACCAACAGAAUAAGCACCGGCUAACUUCGUG
rnacentral:rRNA from 1 species